rnacentral:rRNA from 1 species
UUAGAUACCCUAUUAUACCGAUAAAACCUUAAAUUAUUAAUAGAUAUGUUCUUUAAACUUGAAGAAUCUGGCGGUGAUUUAAUCCUGUUAGAGGAACCUGUUUUUAAAUCGAUAUACCACGUUAAAUUUUACUUACUUAAUAUAGUUUGUAUACCGUCAUUAUCAGAUGAUCUAAAAAAAGUAAAUUGUUAGGGUUUAUAACAAAUAAUAAAUUAAAUUAGAUCAAGGUGCAGCUGAUAGGUAAGUUAAAAUGGGUUACAAUAGAAUUUAUCUAUAACGGAAUAAUUGGAAAGGAAGUGAAUAGUUAUGAAGGAGGAUUUAAUUGUAAUGCAAAAUUAAUAAGCUUGAAAGAUAUAGGCUCUAAAUCAUGUACAUAUCGCCG